rnacentral:rRNA from 1 species
GACGAACGCUGGCGGCGUGCUUAACACAUGCAAGUCGAACGGAAAGGCCCUGCUUUUGUGGGGUGCUCGAGUGGCGAACGGGUGUGUAACACGUGAGUAACCUGCCCUUUACUUUGGGAUAACUUCAGGAAACUGGGUCUAAUACCGGAUAGGAGCUCCUGCUGCAUGGUGUUGGUUGGAAAGUUUCGGCGGUUGGGGAUGUACUCGCGGGUUAUCAGCUUGUUUGUGGGGUAGUGGCUUACCAAGGCUUUGACGGGUAGCCGGCCUGAGAGGGUGACCGGACAAAAUGGGACUGAGAUACGGAACAGAAUACAACGGGAGGCAGCAGGGGGGAAUAGUGCACAAUGGGAGGAAGCAUGAUGCAGAAACGCAGCGAGCGGGAUGACGGCCUUGGGGUUGUAAAAAGAUUUAGAAUGUGACGAAGAGUGAGUGACGGUAAUGGGUAAAGAAGCACCGGCUAACUACGUG